UACAUGUGGGGCAAGCGUUGUUCGGAAUUACUGGGCGUAAAGAGCUCGUAGGCGGUUUGUCGCGUCGGCCGUGAAAUCUCCACGCUUAACGUGGAGUGUGCGGUCGAUACGGGCAGACUUGAGUUCGGUAGGGGAGACUGGAAUUCCUGGUGUAGCGGUGAAAUGCGCAGAUAUCAGGAGGAACACCGGUGGCGAAGGCGGGUCUCUGGGCCGAUACUGACGCUGAGGAGCGAAAGCGUGGGGAGCGAACAGG
rnacentral:rRNA from 1 species